rnacentral:rRNA from 1 species
GAUGAACGCUGGCGGCGUGCCUAAUACAUGCAAGUCGAGCGAACAGACGAGGAGCUUGCUCCUCUGACGUUAGCGGCGGACGGGUGAGUAACACGUGGAUAACCUACCUAUAAGACUGGGAUAACUUCGGGAAACCGGAGCUAAUACCGGAUAAUAUAUUGAACCGCAUGGUUCAAUAGUGAAAGACGGUUUUGCUGUCACUUAUCGAUGGAUCCGCGCCGCAUUAGCUAGUUGGUAAGGUAACGGCUUACCAAGGCAACGAUGCGUAGCCGACCUCAGAGGGUGAUAGGCCACACUGGAGCUGAGACACGGUCCAGACUCCUACGGGAGGCAGCAGUAGGGAAUCGUCCGCAGUGGGCGGAAGCCUGACGGAGCAGCGGCGCGUGAGUUAUGAAGGUCUUCGGAGCGGAAAACUGGGUUAUGAGGGAAGAACAAAUGUGUAAGUAACUAUGGACGUCGUGACGGUACCUAAUCAGAAAGCCACGGCUAACUACGUG